rnacentral:rRNA from 1 species
UACGUAGGGUGCAAGCGUUGUUCGGAUUUACUGGGCGUAAAGGGCGCGUAGGCGGCCACCGCAAGUCGACUGUGAAAUCCCCGGGCUCAACCUGGGAAUUGCGAUGGAGACUGCAAGGCUAGAAUCUGGCAGAGGGGGGUAGAAUUCCACGUGUAGCAGUGAAAUGCGUAGAGAUGUGGAGGAACACCGAUGGCGAAGGCAACCCCCUGGGUCAAGAUUGACGCUCAUGCACGAAAGCGUGGGGAGCAAACAGG